UGGGGAAUUUUGGACAAUGGGGGCAACCCUGAUCCAGCCAUCCCGCGUGUGCGAUGAAGGCCUUCGGGUUGUAAAGCACUUUUGGCAGGGAAGAAACAGCCUGGGCUAAUAUCCCGGGCGACUGACGGUACCUGCAGAAUAAGCACCGGCUAACUACGUGCCAGCAGCCGCGGUAAUACGUAGGGUGCAAGCGUUAAUCGGAAUUACUGGGCGUAAAGCGUGCGCAGGCGGUUCGGAAAGAAAGGUGUGAAAUCCCAGGGCUUAACCUUGGAACUGCACUUUUAACUACCGGGCUAGAGUACGUCAGAGGGGGGUAGAAUUCCACGUGUAGCAGUGAAAUGCGUAGAGAUGUGGAGGAAUACCGAUGCCGAAGGCAGCCCCCUGGGAUGAUACUGACGCUCAUGCACGAAAGCGUGGGGAGCAAACA
rnacentral:rRNA from 1 species